rnacentral:lncRNA from 1 species
GACUUAGCCAGGUUUAGUCUCAGGCAAUUGUCAGUCGUUAUCUCCUAGGGUGUUUAAUUUCUAGCAUCAUGGAAAAGUUUAUAACUUCGAAUGACAGAGAGAAAAAAAUGGAAGCUUUUUUUAAACAGGAGUUUCAGGGUAAUAGUGAUUUAAAAUUUUCCUUCAGUCUUCAGAAUUGGCGAUGAUCUGAAUAAAAGUUCCCAAGAAGCUAUCCAGCCUUUUGCGACCUGAGAAAAACUUGAGGCUGGAAAGAAUUACCGGGAUUCUUUCAUCAUGCUACCCAACCAUCUGCCCUUUUGUGCUGAUGAAAAAUACUAAGAUUACCCUCAAAUUUAUUUCUUUCAUUUCAAAGAUGAGAACUGCCUCUUCUCAAGAAACAUUCAGUAGAUGAUCUGACACCGACAACUUCAUUCAGCAGGAGAGAAAUCUCUUAU